rfam:Butyrivibrio proteoclasticus strain P18 genome assembly, contig: Ga0066879_114
UAACUCAGCUGGGAGAGUAAUGGUUUCCUAAACCAUGAGUCGUGGGUUCGAGCCCCUU